ACUCAAAUGAAUUGACGGGGGCCCGCACAAGCGGUGGAGCAUGUUGUUUAAUACGUCACUAACCGUAGAACCUUACCAGGAUUUGACAUCCGACGCACCGGCCUGAAAGGGUCGUUCCCGGCAACGGGACGUCGAGACAGGUGUUGCAUGGCUGUCGUCAGCUCGUGUCGUGAGAUGUUGGGUUAAGUCCCGCAACGAGCGCAACCCUCAUCCCCUGUUGCCAGCGGGUGAAGCCGGGAACUCUGGGGAAACUGCCGGGGUAACUCGGAGGAAGGUGAGGAUGACGUCAAGUCAGCAUGGCCCUUACAUCCUGGGCUACAAACAUGCUACAAUGGACGGUAGACAAAGGGAUCCGAGGCCGCGAGGUGGAGGCAAUCUCAGAAAUCCGUUCUCAGUUCGGAUUGCAGGCUGCAACUCGCCUGCAUGAAGCCGGAAUCGCUAGUAACCGCAGAUCAGCCAAGCUGCGGUGAAUACGUUCCCGGGCCUUGUACACACCGCCCGU
rnacentral:rRNA from 1 species